rnacentral:rRNA from 1 species
GAACGCUGGCGGCAUGCCUUACACAUGCAAGUCGAACGGCAGCACGGGAGCAAUCCUGGUGGCGAGUGGCGAACGGGUGAGUAAUGUAUCGGAACGUACCUUUCAGUGGGGAUAACGUAGCGAAAGUUACGCUAAUACCGCAUAUUCUGUGAGCAGGAAAGCAGGGGAUCGCAAGACCUUGCGCUGAUUGAGCGGCCGAUAUCAGAUUAGCUAGUUGGUGAGGUAAAGGCUCACCAAGGCGACGAUCUGUAGCGGGUCUGAGAGGAUGAUCCGCCACACUGGAACUGAGACACGGUCCAGACUCCUACGGGAGGCAGCAGUGGGGAAUUUUGGACAAUGGGCGCAAGCCUGAUCCAGCCAUGCCGCGUGAGUGAAGAAGGCCUUCGGGUUGUAAAGCUCUUUCAGCCGGGAAGAAAACGCAUGGGUUAAUACCCUGUGUGGAUGACGGUACCGGAAUAAGAAGCACCGGCUAACUACGUG